ACACAUGCAAGUCGAGGGGAAACGACAUCGAAAGCUUGCUUUUGAUGGGCGUCGACCGGCGCACGGGUGAGUAACGCGUAUCCAACCUGCCCACCACUUGGGGAUAACCUUGCGAAAGUAAGACUAAUACCCAAUGAUAUCUCUAGAAGACAUCUGAAAGAGAUUAAAGAUUUACCGGUGAUGGAUGGGGAUGCGUCUGAUUAGCUUGUUGGCGGGGUAACGGCCCACCAAGGCAACGAUCAGUAGGGGUUCUGAGAGGAAGGUCCCCCACAUUGGAACUGAGACACGGUCCAAACUCCUACGGGAGGCAGCAGUGAGGAAUAUUGGUCAAUGGACGAGAGUCUGAACCAGCCAAGUAGCGUACAGGAUGACGGCCCUAUGGGUUGUAAACUGCUUUUAUAAGGGAAU
rnacentral:rRNA from 1 species